rnacentral:scRNA from 1 species
AUCAACUACACCUACACCGUGGCCGCCAGCGG